AGCCUGCUUCAUUCCCUCGGCCAACUACCUGCAAUCAGUUAAGUGUAUUUGUCCUGUUAUGUUCAUUCUAGUUUCUACUUGUUUCUUGCUCGUUGAAGUUUAAGGUCUGUGUGAUAUGUUACAACUUACUACACAGGCCUAGAAACUAAGGGUUGCAGGGAACAACUAGAAUCUCUUAUCUGUUCUGCUCAAUCAAAACCAACAGGUUUUGAAAGGUAGUGAUUUUGCAGCUGGUGCUUCCUUUUUUAUUCUCCCUCAGUUUAUAUCCUAGCUAAACUUAUAGAAUGUAUUGAUUUAACUGCAAGUUAUCCUAAGCCAAACAUGACAGUUUAUGGUUAGGAUUCAAAAGGAAACUGGAUUAUGUCUUAGGUCGGCGCAUGGCUGCAAAUUCUGAUGCACAGCAACCUGCAUCAGGUUUCUUUCCUCAGUCGAAGCUCAGUUUCUCUACUCAAACACUACUUGCAGCUUAUUCAUUCAUUCAUUUUUACCGAAUCAGCAUGAGGUUAUUGCAGAUUCUUAACAUUAUCAUCCCAAGAAAUAUUAAGAACAGUUACAAGUUCCAGUUUCUGCAAUUUCGCUUUUCUUGCAGUUUUACAAUUCCUGCACGACAUUUACUUCAGCAAAAAGCUCAAAUUCCUAGCUAAAUUUAACAUGCAGCUAGAGUUUAUCCAAUUAUACCAACUAAGCAGUGAGUUGUUAUAAGAUCUUACCUCUUUCCCCCUAAAGUUCGAUGUUGCAGGGUGCUCAAGUUUCUGUUUCAGCUCCUCAAGUCCUAACACUCGAUUCUCCCGUUUUCCUUACCUUCGUUUGCUUGAUUGUGGUUAGCUGAUGAAGAAGCUAGCCAAAUUGUCCUUCCCUCACACUCUAUUCCACUCCCUCGGUUCUGUUUUGUAGAGAUUGAAAGAAAGAGAGAAAGGAAGAGCUGUCUAGUUUCUUUGCUCUCGGUCACCGCCCAACUAAUGAAUCAGUUUCUAUUUGCUCCACUCAGUCACCGCUUAAACUUAGCAGAUGAUUUCUCUUUGUUUUCUCUCGGGUCUUAUUGAUUAAGAAUGACAAGAUUGUUUCCAUUCGGUGGCUAGUGGCAG
rnacentral:lncRNA from 1 species